GGCUGACUGACACUCUUUCCCUGUUGCACUACUGUGGCACAAUAAAUAUAAGCAGUGCAAUGAUGAAAGGGCAUUAGUCUGACC
rnacentral:pre_miRNA from 1 species